UACGAAGGGGGCUAGCGUUGCUCGGAAUCACUGGGCGUAAAGGGUGCGUAGGCGGGUCUUUAAGUCAGGGGUGAAAUCCUGGAGCUCAACUCCAGAACUGCCUUUGAUACUGAAGAUCUUGAGUUCGGGAGAGGUGAGUGGAACUGCGAGUGUAGAGGUGAAAAUUCGUAGAUAUUCGCAAGAACACCAGUGGCGAAGGCGGCUCACUGGCCCGAUACUGACGCUGAGGCACGAAAGCGUGGGAGCA
rnacentral:rRNA from 1 species